GAUGAACGCUGGCGGCGUGCCUAAUACAUGCAAGUCGAGCGAACAGACGAGGAGCUUGCUCCUCUGACGUUAGCGGCGGACGGGUGAGUAACACGUGGAUAACCUACCUAUAAGACUGGGAUAACUUCGGGAAACCGGAGCUAAUACCGGAUAAUAUAUUGAACCGCAUGGUUCAAUAGUGAAAGACGGUUUUGCUGUCACUUAUAGAUGGAUCCGCGCCGCAUUAGCUAGUUGGUAAGGUAACGGCUUACCAAGGCAACGAUGCGUAGCCGACCUGAGAGGGUGAUCGGCCACACUGGAACUGAGACACGGUCCAGACUCCUACGGGAGGCAGCAGUAGGGAAUCUUCCGCAAUGGGCGAAAGCCUGACGGAGCAACGCCGCGUGAGUGAUGACGGUCUUCGGAUCGUAAACCUCUGUUAUUAGGGAAGAACACAUGUGUAAGUCACUAUGCACGUCUUGACGGUACCUAAUCAGAAAGCCACGGCUAACUCCGUG
rnacentral:rRNA from 1 species